GAUGAACGCUAGCGGCAGGCUUAAUACAUGCAAGUCGAGGGGUAGCAAGAUUGUAGCAAUACAAUUGUUGACGACCGGCAAACGGGUGCGGAACACGUACACAACCUUCCUACAAGUGGGGAAUAGCCCAGAGAAAUUUGGAUUAAUACCCCGUAACAUAGCGAUGUGGCAUCACAUUGCUAUUAUAGCUUCGGCGCUUGUUGAUGGGUGUGCGGCUGAUUAGAUAGUUGGCGGGGUAACGGCCCACCAAGUCUACGAUCAGUAGCUGAUGUGAGAGAAUGAUCAGCCACACGGGAACUGGGACACGGGCCCGACUCCUACGGGAGGCAGCAGUAAGGAAUAUUGGACAAUGGACGCAAGUUUGAUCCAGCCAUGCCGCGUGAAGGAUUAAGGUCCUCUGGAUUGUAAACUUCUUUUAUAAGGGACGAAAAAAGGUCUUUCUAGAUCGUCUGACGGUACCUUAUGAAUAAGCACCGGCUAACUCCGUGCCAGCCGCCGCAGUAAAAC
rnacentral:rRNA from 1 species